rnacentral:rRNA from 1 species
UGAGGAAUAUUGGACAAUGGGCGCAAGCCUGAUCCAGCCAUGCCGCGUGCAGGAUGACGGUCCUAUGGAUUGUAAACUGCUUUUUGUACAGGAAGAAACAGUUCUACGUGUAGAACCUUGACGGUACUGUAAGAAUAAGGAUCGGCUAACUCCGUGCCAGCAGCCGCGGUAAUACGGAGGAUCCAAGCGUUAUCCGGAAUCAUUGGGUUUAAAGGGUCCGUAGGCGGUUAGAUAAGUCAGUGGUGAAAGCCCAUCGCUCAACGGUGGAACGGCCAUUGAUACUGUCUGACUUGAAUUAUUAGGAAGUAACUAGAAUAUGUAGUGUAGCGGUGAAAUGCUUAGAGAUUACAUGGAAUACCAAUUGCGAAGGCAGGUUACUACUAAUGGAUUGACGCUGAUGGACGAAAGCGUGGGUAGCGAACAGGAUUAGAUACCCCCGUAGUCCCUGAGCGGGCUGGCAAGGCGCAU